rnacentral:rRNA from 1 species
GAUGAACGCUGGCGGCGUGCCUAAUACAUGCAAGUCGAACGCAUUGAGAGAAGUGCUUGCACUUUUCAAUUUGAGAGGCGAACGGGUGAGUAACACGUGGGCAACCUACCUGAUAGCAGGGGAUAACGAGUGGAAACAUUCGCUAAUACCGCAUAACAAUAGAGAAGGCAUCUUCUUUAUUUAAAAGGCGCUUUCAAGCGUCACUAUCAGAUGGGCCCGCGGUGCAUUAGUUAGUUGGUGGGGUGAAGGCCUACCAAGACGAUGAUGCAUAGCCGAGUUGAGAGACUGAUCGGCCACAGUGGGACUGAGACACGGCCCAAACUCCUACGGGAGGCUGCAGUAGGGAAUCCUCCACAAUGGACGAAAGUCUGAUGGAGCAACGCCGCGUGUGUGAUGAAGGCUUUCGGGUCGUAAAGCACUGUUGUAUGGGAAGAAAUGCUAGGCUAGGAAAUGAGCUUAGUUUGACGGUACCAUACCAGAAAGGGACGGCUAAAUACGUGCCAGCCGCCGCCGUAA